GUAACGAGCGCAACCCUUGUCCUUAGUUACCAGCACGUUAUGGUGGGCGACUCUAAGGAGACUGCCGGUGACAACCGAGGAAGGUGGGGAUGACGUCAAGUCAUCAUAGCCCUUACGGCCUGGGCUACACACGUGCUACAAUGGUCGGUACAAAGGGUUGCCAAGCCGCGAGGUGGAGCUAAUCCCAUAAAACCGAUCGUAGUCCGGAUCGCAGUCUGCAACUCGACUGCGUGAAGUCGGAAUCGCUAGUAAUCGUGAAUCAGAAUGUCACGGUGAAUACGUUCCCGGGCCUU
rnacentral:rRNA from 1 species